rnacentral:rRNA from 1 species
CCCUUAGAUGUCCUGGGCCGCACGCGCGCUACACUGAUGCAUUCAACGAGUCUACCUUGGCCGAGAGGCCUGGGCAACCUUUUAAACGUGCAUCGUGAUAGGGAUAGAUUAUUGCAAUCAUUAAUCUUGAACGAGGAAUUCCUAGUAAACGCAAAUCAUCAAUUUGCAUUGAUUACGUCCCUGCACUUUGUACACACCGCCCGUCGCACCUACCGAUUGAAUGGUCCGGUGAGGACUCGGGAUUUUUACCAGUUUCCUUCAUUGGGAAUUGGUGAGGAGAACUUGUCCAAACCUUAUCAUUUAGAGGAAGGAGAAGUCGUAACA